rnacentral:rRNA from 1 species
UAACACCUGGAAACAGAUGCUAAUACCGGAUAACAACAGAUGAUGCCUAUCAACUGUUUAAAAGAUGGUUCUGCUAUCACUCUUGGAUGGACCUGCGGUGCAUUAGCUAGUUGGUAGGGUAACGGCCUACCAAGGCGAUGAUGCAUAGCCGAGUUGAGAGACUGAUCGGCCACAUUGGGACUGAGACACGGCCCAAACUCCUACGGGAGGCAGCAGGCCCUAAGGCGAGGCAGCAGAC